rnacentral:rRNA from 1 species
UACAGAGGUCUCAAGCGUUGUUCGGAUUCAUUGGGCGUAAAGAGCUCGUAGGCGGUUUGUCGCGUCUGCCGUGAAAGUCCGGGGCUCAACUCCGGAUCUGCGGUGGGUACGGGCAGACUAGAGUGAUGUAGGGGGAGACUGGAAUUCCUGGUGUAGCGGUGAAAUGCGCAGAUAUCAGGAGGAACACCGAUGGCGAAGGCAGGUCUCUGGGCAUUAACUGACGCUGAGGAGCGAAAGCAUGGGGAGCGAACAGG